UUGACCGGCAGCUAGCUCUAUGCAACUCUCACAUGGUCACCCACUGAAGCUAAGUAGGAUUGCGCUAGGUCAGUACCUGGAUGGCAGACCACAUAGAAAAGCUAGGUGUUGGAAAAU
rnacentral:rRNA from 1 species